AAAGCCACAACCGGCUGGCAUGAAAACAGAUAGGUAAAACUAAAUGCCUAUCCUAUUACAUGAUCGCCAUCCAAACCGGUUGAAGAUAUCCCGCGCUACCGUCUCCCACCGGACAGAUCCAGUAACCAAACGCUCCCUGGCCUCCGUCGGAGUGAGUAAUGACCACGUACGGAUCAGUGCUGUAGCUCGGAAUAACACCUGCAAAAAAUGAGUAUUUGUUGUUCUGUUAAAAACCAAAUCAUUUCUGCAAUUCCAAAUUGCCCAUAAUAACGCACAUACUCCUACACGAAUGUGUCUGGCUGUUUCGGAUUCAAUCCCAACAAGCCACGCCCCAAAUAACGUGUUUACCGAUGUCGGAGGAGUAAUAUUAAAAGCAAUUUGCACGGAGCGCCACAAUCCUCGUGCCAACGGACAGUCAAAAAAUAAGUGCUUGAUGGUCUCAUCCCUAUCACAGAAACUACACCUAGUAGAUCCUGUCCAGUUGCGCCUAACUAGAUUGUCCUUAGUAAGAAUAACUUGCUUAUGCACAAACCACAUAAAUACUUUAAUCUUCAAAGGUACCUUAACUUUCCAGACCUCCUUGGAUGUAGGUAUCACAGCAGAAUUAAUGAUAUCAACAUACAUCGAUUUAACCGUGAAUACCCCAGUUCUAGUUAGCUUCCAAAACAACUGAUCGGGCUGAGAAUUUAGCUGAACUUCCAUCAGCCUACGGACCAAGUGAAGCCAUGCCUCCCAUCGAGGCCCGACAAGCACCCUCCUAAACUGAAUAUUUAGAGGUAUAGACUGCAUCACCGUGGCAACGAGAGUAUCCCUACGCUGAACAAUACGAUAUAGUGUCGGAUAUUGUGUAGCCAAUGGCGCGUCACCAAGCCACGUAUCCUCCCAGAAACGCGUAUUAUCACCAUUACCAACAAUACAUCUCGUUCUGUUAAAGAAAGCGGCUUUAACCCUCAUAAGCCCUUUCCAGAACGGCGAAUCUGUAGGUCUCAGAGUAACCUGGGAUAAAGUCUUUGAGUGCAGAUAUUUACUAUGUAGAAUCUGCGUCCAAGUUGUCUCUGUCUCAGAAGACAACUUAAACAACCACUUACUAAGCAGGCAUUUGUUCUUGACUUCAAGAUUUUCAACCCCAAGCCCCCCUUGGUCCUUUGGUCGACAAAUAAUAUCCCAUUUGGCCAAUCUAUACUUCCUCUUAGACUCAUCACUCUGCCAAAAGAAGCGAGAUCGAUAGAAGUCUAGCCUCUUCCUAACCCCCACUGGGACCUCGAAGAAAGAUAAGAGAAACAUAGGUAAACUCGUGAGCACCGAGUUAAUCAGAAUUAACCGGCCUCCAUAAGACAUGAGUUUUCCUUUCCAGCAACUAAGUUUCUUCUCAAAACGAUCCUCGAUGCACUUCCACUCACGAUUUGUUAGCUUACGAUGGUGUAUUGGAAUACCAAGAUACGUGAAAGGUAGAGCCCCAACUUCGCAACCAAACAAUUAUGUAUAUGCUUCUUGAUCGUCUUUGGCUCUACCAAAGUAGAACAACUCGCUUUUAUGGAAAUUAAUUUUCAGCCCCGACAAUUGUUCAAAAAGGCAUAACACUAACUUCAUGUUCCUCGCUUUUGCCAAAUCGUGUUCCAUGAAAAUGAUUGUAUCAUCAGCGUAUUGCGGGAUGGACAGACCACCAUCAACUAGAUGAGGCACCAAUCCCUCCACCUGACCGGCUUCCUUGGCCCUCCCAAUCAGGAUCGCUAACAUAUCAACCACAAUAUUGAACAGAAUAGGCGACAUAGGGUCCCCCUGUCUCAAACCCUUGUGCGUUUGGAAGUAAUGACCUAUGUCGUCAUUAACUUUAAUGCCAACACUACCUUUUUGCGUGAAUGUUUCCGCCUGAUGUCGCCAGAGCUCAUCAAAGCCCUUCAUCCGUAAAGCCUGUUGGAGGAACGGCCAUUUGACUUUAUCAUAAGCCUUCUCGAAAUCCACUUUAAAAAUAACACCAUCUAGUUUUUUUGUAUGAAUUUCAUGAAGCGUUUCAUGAAGGACCACAACCCCUUCGAGGAUGUUCCUAUCCGGCAUGAACGCCGUUUGAGAAGGUUGCACAACUGUGUGCGCAAUCUGCGUGAGCCUGAUCGUUCCAACCUUGGUAAAGAUCUUGAAGCUGACAUUCAAAAGGCAGAUGGGCCGAAAUUGCUCAAUUCUCACGGCAUCUGUUUUCUUAGGCAGCAAAGUUAUCAUUCCAAAAUUUAGUUGGAAAAGCUACAAAUGUCCCGAGAACAAAUCAUGGAACAUCGGCAUCAGGUCCCCUUUGAUAAUAUGCCAGCACUUCUUGUAAAACUCAGCCGGGAAACCAUCCGGCCCCGGUGCCUUGUUACACUUCAUCUUGGAGAUAGCUUCGAAAACCUCCUUUUCCGAGAAAGGGGCAGUUAAAACAUCGUUCUCCACAGCAGUAAGUUGAGGGAUAUCGUGAACCCUAGACUCAUCCAGGGACACACAGUUCUCCUCUGGUGGUCCGAACAGACGUUUAUAGUACUCAGUAAUGUAAAGCUUCAGGUUGUCCUGACCGACUAUUGUACCCUCAUCUUGUUCUAACUGGAAAAUUCUCUUCUUCCGGUGCUUGCCAUUGGCUAUCAUGUGGAAGAACUGAGUGUUCGCAUCCCCCUGGACAACUUUUGUCACCUUUGCCCGCAGCGCCCACUUUAAUUCUUCCUCACGGAGUAACUCUUUCAGCCUCCCCUCAGCCUCAUGCUUGAUAUGAAGCUCGGGGGCUGACAGAAUCGUAGUUUCAGCCCUUAUAUCUAAGGUUUGGAUAAGGGAAAGGAGUCGUUCCUUCUCCACCUUAUACAUUCCACCUAGAUGUUUAGCCCACCCCCGAAGGAAACUUCUGAGGUGCCUAAUCUUGUUCUGCCAGCGCUCAAGGGCAUUCCUACCUCCUGCAUCUUUAGCCCAUUCUCUGGCUACAAGAUCCAAGAAUCCUUCUCUUUCAAACCACGCCAGCUCAAAAGAGAAUAAAUUCUUGUUACCCGAGUAGGUAGCCCCACCAGAGUCGAGCAGCAGGGGUGUGUGAUCAGAAAUGCCGCGGGAUAGAGCUUGCACCUUUACAAAGGGAAACUUUUGUUCCCAAGCAACACUAGCCAGAACCCGAUCCAACUUCUCGAACGUUGGAUUUGGCAACGCGUUAGCCCAGGUGAACUUCCUCCCUGAAAGCUCAAUCUCUCUCAAAUCUAAGCUUUCAAUAAUAGUAUUAAACAUAAAUGACCAUCUCCCAUCAAAAUUGUCAUUAUUCUUUUCAUCGCGUCUUCUAAUGAUAUUAAAAUCACCCCCAACCAGAAUUGGGAGCUGCUCAGACCCGCAGACUCUAACAAGAUCAGCCAAAAAGUCAGGUUUGAGCUCUGCCUGCGCCGCCCCAUACACCGCCACCAAAGCCCAGUCGAACCCAUCAACUUUGGACCGCACCCUAAACUUAACAGCAAAAUCCCCCAUGACCACACUGCGAACUUCGAGAGAGUCACAUCUAACACCAAAUAAGAUUCCACCCGACCGUCCUCUCGGCGGAAGACAAUGCCAGUCAAACUCAAUACCCCCCGACAACGUAUUGAGAAAUUGAGGCGAGAAAUUUGCUCUACCCGUUUCCGAUACGGCAAUAAAGUCCAAUCUAUGCUCAAUGGAUCCUUCCGCCAGGAACCUCCUUUUAGCCAAGUCCUUAAGACCUCUGCUAUUCCAGAAGAUUCCUCUCAUAUCUCAUCAUGAAAUUUUUUAGCCGUGCGGAUCCUAGCGCUCCUACGGACCGCGGACAUCGGGUAUAUUUUGCGCUUCCACUUGCGCUUAGGGCUAGUCGGGCCCACCCGGUCCACACUGCCCGUAACUGGCGAUCUAACCUCUUCCAAACCGACCUCCUCAUCCUCCUCCUCCGGCUCCUGGAGGGGCGGUGCGAGGUCAUCACAAAAAUUAUCAAGUAUUCGAACUCCCAAGGCAUCAAUCUCUGAAUCGUUCAUCGGUUUGACAGCAGCUAAGUUACGAAUCAUUUCUAAAGCCCUCUCGGCUUCUAGAUCAAGUAAAUCGUUAAUAGAACUAGUAACUUCACCCUCAUUACUACCAAGUGAAAUUCCUAAUUGGUUUGCCUUAUCCACAAUUUGAUCAUUCGAAAAAUGCAGAAUAGUAUUUGAAGUGUUCACGGACAUACCAGUAGUGACCUGGACGUCACGAAGCUUUGCCGCCCUCACGGCACAGC
rnacentral:lncRNA from 1 species